rnacentral:tRNA from 1 species
UGGGGUAUGGCUCAGUGGUAGAACACAUGCCUAGCGUGCAUGAGGUCCUGAGUUCAAUCCCCAGCACCUCUA